UACAGAGGGGGCAAGCGUUGUUCGGAAUUACUGGGCGUAAAGGGCGCGUAGGCGGCCUUCUAAGUCGGACGUGAAAUCCCCGGGCUCAACCCGGGAACUGCGUCCGAGACUGGGAGGCUCGAAUCCGGGAGAGGGAUGUGGAAUUCCAGGUGUAGCGGUGAAAUGCGUAGAUAUCUGGAGGAAUACCGGUGGCGAAGGCGGCAUCCUGGACCGGUAUUGACGCUGAGGCGCGAAAGCCAGGGGAGCAAACGGG
rnacentral:rRNA from 1 species